rnacentral:rRNA from 1 species
UACGUAGGGUGCGAGCGUUGUCCGGAAUUAUUGGGCGUAAAGAGCUCGUAGGCGGUGUGUCACGUCGGCCGUGAAAACCUGCAGCUUAACUGUGGGCGUGCGGUCGAUACGGGCAUCACUGGAGUUCGGCAGGGGAGACUGGAAUUCCUGGUGUAGCGGUGAAAUGCGCAGAUAUCAGGAGGAACACCGGUGGCGAAGGCGGGGUCUCUGGGCCACUACUGACGCUGAGAAGCGAAAGCGUGGGGGAGCGAAACAGG